GGUAACAGGUCUUCGGAUGCUGACGAGUGGCGAACGGGUGAGUAAUACAUCGGAACGUGCCCGAGAGUGGGGGAUAACGAAGCGAAAGCUUUGCUAAUACCGCAUACGAUCUCAGGAUGAAAGCAGGGGACCGCAAGGCCUUGCGCUCACGGAGCGGCCGAUGGCAGAUUAGGUAGUUGGUGGGAUAAAAGCUCACCAAGCCGACGAUCUGUAGCUGGUCUGAGAGGACGACCAGCCACACUGGGACUGAGACACGGCCCAGACUCCUACGGGAGGCAGCAGUGGGGAAUUUUGGACAAUGGGCGCAAGCCUGAUCCAGCCAUGCCGCGUGCAGGAUGAAGGCCUUCGGGUUGUAAACUGCUUUUGUACGGAACGAAAAGACUCUGGUUAAUACCUGGGGUCCAUGACGGUACCGUAAGAAUAAGCACCGGCUAACUACGUGCCAGCAGCCGCGGUAAUACGUAGGGUGCGAGCGUUAAUCGGAAUUACUGGGCGUAAAGCGUGUGCAGGCGGUUAUGUAAGACAGAUGUGAAAUCCCCGGGCUCAACCUGGGAACUGCAUUUGUGACUGCAUAGCCAGAGUACGGCAGAGGGGGAUGGAAUUCCGCGUGUAGCAGUGAAAUGCGUAGAUAUGCGGAGGAACACCGAUGG
rnacentral:rRNA from 1 species